rnacentral:rRNA from 1 species
AUUGAACGCUGGCGGCAUGCCUUACACAUGCAAGUCGAACGGUAACGGGCCUUCGGGUGCCGACGAGUGGCGAACGGGUGAGUAAUGUAUCGGAACGUACCUUUCAGUGGGGGAUAACGUAGCGAAAGUUACGCUAAUACCGCAUAUUCUGUGAGCAGGAAAGCAGGGGAUCGCAAGACCUUGCGCUGAUUGAGCGGCCGAUAUCAGAUUAGCUAGUUGGUGAGGUAAAGGCUAACCAAGGCGACGAUCUGUAGCGGGUCUGAGAGGAUGAUCCGCCACACUGGAACUGAGACACGGUCCAGACUCCUACGGGAGGCAGCGGUGGGGAAUUUUGGACAAUGGGGGCAACCCUGAUCCAGCCAUGCCGCGUGAGUGAAGAAGGCCUUCGGGUUGUAAAGCUCUUUCGGCCGGGAAGAAAUCGUAUCAGCUAAUACCUGGUGCGGAUGACGGUACCGGCAUAAGAAGCACCGGCUAACUACGUGCCAGCAGCCGCCGUAACAC